rnacentral:rRNA from 1 species
GACGAACGCUGGCGGCGUGCCUAAUACAUGCAAGUAGAACGCUGAAGGAGGAGCUUGCUCUUCUGGAUGAGUUGCGAACGGGUGAGUAACGCGUAGGUAACCUGCCUGGUAGCGGGGGAUAACUAUUGGAAACGAUAGCUAAUACCGCAUAACAGUAGAUGUUGCAUGACAUUUGCUUAAAAGGUGCAAUUGCAUCACUACCAGAUGGACCUGCGUUGUAUUAGCUAGUUGGUGGGGUAACGGCUCACCAAGGCGACGAUACAUAGCCGACCUGAGAGGGUGAUCGGCCACACUGGGACGGAGACACGGCCCAGACUCCUACGGGAGGCAGCAGUAGGGAAUCUUCGGCAAGGGACGGAAGUCUGACCGAGCAACGCCGCGUGAGUGAAGAAGGGUUUCGGAUCGUAAAGCUCUGUUGUAAGAGAAGAACGAGUGUGAGAGUGGAAAGUUCACACUGUGACGGUAUCUUACCAGAAAGGGACGGCUAACUACGUG